UACGUAGGGUGCGAGCGUUGUCCGGAAUUAUUGGGCGUAAAGAGCUUGUAGGCGGUUUGUCGCGUCUGCUGUGAAAUCUCAAGGCUCAACCUUGAGCUUGCAGUGGAUACUGGCGAGCUAGAGUGUGAUAGAGGAUGGUGGAAUUCCCGGUGUAGCGGUGAAAUGCGUAGAGAUCGGGAGGAACAUCAGUGGCGAAGGCGGCCAUCUGGAUCAACACUGACGCUGAGGCACGAAAGCGUGGGGAGCAAACAGG
rnacentral:rRNA from 1 species